ACUUUUGAAGUGUCGUCAGAAACGUUUGUGAGUUAUCCAGAUAAUUUUAAUAAAAUAUUUUAAAGUCAUGUAAUUGACCGAAAUAUAGAUUCCAGGCGCUACUGGUCCUGAAGUACCAGAAGGCGCGUUCGGUGUAAUCUCUAGUAUUUCGAUACUCCUGGUUCUUUCUUGACAGUAAGGUUAAACAAUGUGCAGUAAGUCACAUAUUUCCAAAAUAUCUGGGGGGGCUAUUACGGUUUCUGAAACGAGGUGAAAAUUACAAAAAACCGUGAUAGCCCCCCUGAGAAGGUGCAAUUGGUGUUGCAAAAGCGAAUUGGUAUUUAAUCAACGAGAUUCAGAGACGGAAGCACAAGCCCAGGAUGAUCCUUCCCGAGAAAGCAGUCUCCGUACUUCGUCUGGAACCAAGAUUCAUAACUCCAGCGAUUAGAACCUGUUCGGAUGCGCUCAAAUGCAAAGUUUGUCGUGCCAUGAGAUAUUUUCCUCCUGAACAAUGCAGUAUGGUCAAUGUUAAAGUGAUCGGGUGUUUACUGUUUGUAUGUGAUGGCGACACACUAUAGUUAUACCGGUGAUUCAAGAACAGAUUGGAAUAUUCCAUCUGCGACUUGCUCUCUUUGGCGAAAGGAUAUUUCUUGAUGCAUUCGACUUUAUUUGAUAAUCUAACGAGUUUGUAUGAAAAUGUCUUAGAAGUAUGGGAGAACAUACAGAGGAAUGCCAUUGAAAUGCAUGGUAAUUUGUUAUUUACAUAUUUUAAUUACUGUUUAACAAGUAGUACACAGAUAAUUUCCACAUUAUUGAAUC